rnacentral:rRNA from 1 species
UAGAGGAAGUAAAAGUCGUAACAAGGUUUCCGUAGGUGAACCUGCGGAAGGAUCAUUAAUGAAAUUAUAAUCCGGCGAGGGAAAGGCGGGAGAGUUGUAGCUGGCCCUAGGGCAUGUGCACGCUCUCUUCCGGACUUUCGCCGUAUGGGCGCGGGGCGACCCGCGUCUUCAUAUACCUCUUCGUGUAGAAAGUCUUUGAAUGUUAUUACCAUCAUCGAGUCGCGACUUCUAGGAGACGCGAUUCUUUGAGACAAAAGUUAUUACAACUUUCAGCAACGGAUCUCUUGGCUCUCGCAUCGAUGAAGAACGCAGCGAAUCGCGAUAUGUAAUGUGAAUUGCAGAUCUACAGUGAAUCAUCGAAUCUUUGAACGCACCUUGCGCUCCUCGGUGUUCCGAGGAGCAUGCCUGUUUGAGUGUCAGUAAAUUCUCAACCCCUCUCGAUUUGCUUCGACAGGGUGCUUGGAUGUUGGGGGCUGCCGGAGACACUGGAYUCGUCCAGGACUCGGGCUCCUCUUAAAUGAAUCGGCUUGCGGUCGACUUUCGACUUUGCAUGACAAGGCCUUUGGCGUGAUAAUGAUCGCCGUUCGCCGAAGUGCAAGACAGAACGGUCCCGUGCCUCUAAUGCGUCGACGCCUCUCGGGGCCGUCUUCCUCAUUGACGUUUGACCUCAAAUCAGGUAGGACUACCCGCUGAACUUAAGCAUAUCAAUAA